UCUCCCGAGCGAAGAAAAAAAAUCAUAAAACCUGAUCUCGUCGUUUCAACGAAGCAGACUGCUGGACCUUGGAGACGACACAGAGACGAGUACCUUUGAUUGUUCUAAUGCGGUUCUUCACUUCAAGGUGUUCUUUCAUGCUUGCCCGAUUUUCGUCCAUCUUUGAGAAAUGAGAAGGUCAAAGGUGGAGAUGAUUUUUCUUUCGUAAUUGCUGGAGCAUCUGGUUCAACUGUUGGAAGUUCCAAACUAAGGGGAAAAAAUGAAAUCAUACACAGUGGCUUGCAAAAUGAUGGAGUCAUAACAUCCUUUUGAUACUCAUUGUUCGUAUAAUGGAUGCAUUAGGAAACUUU